CAGCCGCCGCGGUAAUACGAAGGGGGCUAGCGUUGUUCGGAUUUACUGGGCGUAAAGGGCGCGUAGGCGGACUGAUAAGUCAGGGGUGAAAUCCCAAGGCUCAACCUUGGAACUGCCUUUGAUACUGUUUGUCUUGAGUUCGAGAGAGGUAAGUGGAACUGCGAGUGUAGAGGUGAAAUUCGUAGAUAUUCGCAAGAACACCAGUGGCGAAGGCGGCUUACUGGCUCGAAACUGACGCUGAGGCGCGAAAGCGUGGGGAGCAAACAGGAUUAGAGACCCCGGUAGUCCCUGUCUCUUAUAU
rnacentral:rRNA from 1 species